rnacentral:rRNA from 1 species
UCAACGGAGAGUUUGAUCCUGGCUCAGGACGAACGCUGGCGGCGUGCUUAACACAUGCAAGUCGAGCGGUAAGGCUCCUUCGGGGGUACACGA